ensembl:lncRNA
CAUCAUAUACUGUAGGCUAGUGUUAAUGUACCCACUAACUCUGAGCAGGAGAUUGAAAAUACAGGCAUAAGAAUGGAUGUUUGCUGUGUGGGUUAGAAUUCGUGAAGCAUAGAGCUGUAGUGGGUAAACCUUGGAGGGUUGAUUAUCUAGGUGGUGGUGAUGGUGGUGGUGAUGGUGAUGGGGUUGAUGGGGGUGAUGGUGAUGGCAGUGAUGAUGGUGGUGAUGGUGGUGAUAGUGGUGGUGAUGGUGGUGGUGGUGAUGGUGAUGAUGAUGGUGGUGGUGAUUGUGGUGGUGGUGAUGGUGGUGGCAGUGAUGAUGGUGGUGGUGGUGGUCGUGACGAUGAUGAUGAUGAUGAUGGUGAUGGUGGUGAUGAUGGUGGUGAUGAUGGUGGUGGUGGUGAUGGUGGUGGCAGUGAUGAUGGUGGUGGUGGUGAUGGUGGUGGUGGUGAUGGUCGUGAUAGUGGUGGUGAUGGUGGUGGUGGUGAUGGUGUUGAUGAUGGUGGUGGUGGUGAUGGUGGUGAUGAUUGUGGUGGUGAUUGUGGUGAUGGUCGUGAGGAUGAUGAUGGUGAUGGUGGUGAUGAUGGUGAUGGUGGUGGCGGUGAUGAUGGUGGUGGUGGUGAUGGUGGUGGUGGUGAUGGUGAUGGUGGCGGUGGUGAUGGUGUUGAUGGUGAUGGUGGCGGUGGUGAUGGUGUUGAUGGUGAUGGUUGUGAUGGUGAUGGUGAUAGUGGUAAUGGUGAUGGUGGUGAUGGUGAUGGCAGUGAAGAUGGUGGUGAUGGUGAUGGUGAUGGUGAUGGUGGUGAUUGUGAUUGUGAUGGCAGUGGUGAUGGUGUUGAUGGUGAUGGCUGUGAUGGUGAUAGUGGUGAUGGUGAUGGCAGUGAUGAUGGUGGUGAUGGUGGUGGUGGUGAUGGUGAUGGUGGUGAUGGUGAUGAUGGUGGUGAUGGUGAUGGUGGUGAUGGUGAUGGCAGUGAUGAUGGUGGUGAUGGUGAUGGUUGUGAUAGUGGUGGUGAUGGUGGUGGUGGUGAUGGUGGUGGUGGUGAUGGUGGUGAUGAUGGUGGCGGUGGUGAUGGUGAAGAUGGUGAUGGUAUUGGUGAUGGUGGUGAUGGUGAUGGCAGUGAUGAUGGUGGUGAUGGUGAAGAUGGUGAUGGCAGUGAUGAUGGUGGUGAUGGUGGUGAUGGUGGUGAUGGUGAUGGCAGUGAUGAUGGUGGUGAUGGUGAAGAUGGUGAUGGCGGUGAUGAUGGUGGUGAUGGUGGUGAUGGUGGUGGUGGUGAUGGUUAAGAUGGUGAUGGUAUUGGUGAUGGUGGUGAUGGUGGUGAUGGUGAAGAUGGUGAUGGUAUUGGUGAUGGUGGUGAUGGUGAAGAUGGUGAUGGUAUUGGUGAUGGUGGUGAUGGUGAAGAUGGUGAUGGUAUUGGUGAUGGUGGUGAUGGUGAAGAUGGUGAUGGUAUUGGUGAUGGUGGUGAUGGUGAAGAUGGUGAUGUUAUUGGUGAUGGUGGUGAUGGUGAAGAUGGUGGUGGUAUUGGUGAUGGUGGUGAUGGUGAAGAUGGUGAUGGUGGUGAUGAUGGUGGUGAUGGUGGUGAUGGUGGUGAUGGUGAUGAUGGUGAAGAUGGUGAUGGUGGUGAUGGUGGUGGUAUUGGUGAUGGUGGUGAUGGUGAAGAUGGUGAUGGUAUUGGUGAU